CUCUUGCCACUGACUUGAAUCUUGAAUCGCUUAUUCGUUGUUGAUGAACCUGUCAUGAAAGUGCUCUGACUUUUUCUGCCCUGCCUCUAAAAGUGUUUUGUGCUUGAUUUGGUACUAUCUCUGCUCUUGCCACUUACUUGAAUUUCUUAUCUGUUGUUGAUGAACAUAUAUUUUUUGUCGACUAACCCUGUGCCUUGCCCUUGCUGUUUAUUGAGUGCUCGUAUGUAUGUGUUGCCUUUGUGAUUGCUGUUCUUUUCCUGUCUUUGAAGUGUUGUGCAUUUGUUUAAUUUGAAUGACUGUUUUGAUGCUGAUGCUGUACUGUUUGGUUUGAAAUUUUCUUGACUCUGCUGUGUUCUCCAUGCAAUAUUUUCCCUGUCUUAUUUGUUUUGAUGAAGGUUUGAAAUUAUUUCUUUCAAAUUUGAUGUCUUUUGGGUUUUGAUGUGAUGUUUGAAUCUGAUGUCCUGUGUCUUAAUCUCUAUCUCAUAUAAUUUAAAUGGCACUAUAUACCUACUUUGGGGUUUCCUUGGGUUCACUGGCUUGUUCUCCAUCUUUCUUUAAUUCUUUCUGGGGUUUUGGUUUGGUUUUAAAGCCUUUUCAUUCUCAUACUUAUCACCCUAAGGUGCUGUUGCAUAUUGUACUGGGUGCUGCCAGUAUUCAUGACUUAGAUAAACUUCAGAGGUGCAGCUACGAUUGAUUUUCACCACCAUGGCAUCGCAGUCAAUAUUUUCUCUAAAGUUAUUUUAAUGGACCAAUCAGCAUAUAUAGAGCUAGGGAUUCUCUGUGAUAUUCCCACGUGGUUUGCAACUCUCUUCUAUAUUUUCCACCAAAUAUUCUUCGUCGUUUGCUUAUCUAGAAGUAUUCCAAUCUUGUGACAUCUGCUCCGCUAAUCACCUGUAUAUUAAUUUCCCCUCCGGUUUGAGUUGAAUUUCAAAGACUCGUCAUGGCAUUGGUCUUUCAUUGACGAUUAUUUGUAUCUAAUUACCAUGAACAAUUGCCCAUUUACCAUGGUAUGAUUGAGAUUUGAAAAUGGUUCUGCCGCAGAGGUCGCACUUCUUUUCUUGAUGAGGAGGCCACUUACUCGAUGAGGGAGAUGGAUUGCAACGAAACACCCACACUGGUGG